rnacentral:rRNA from 1 species
CCUGGUAGUCCACGCCGUAAACGAUGUCGACUUGGAGGUUGUGCCCUUGAGGCGUGGCUUCCGGAGCUAACGCGUUAAGUCGACCGCCUGGGGAGUACGGCCGCAAGGUUAAAACUCAAAUGAAUUGACGGGGGCCCGCACAAGCGGUGGAGCAUGUGGUUUAAUUCGAUGCAACGCGAAGAACCUUACCUACUCUUGACAUCCAGAGAACUUUCCAGAGAUGGGAUUGGUGCCUUCGGGAACUCUGAGACAGGUGCUGCAUGGCUGUCGUCAGCUCGUGUUGUGAAAUGUUGGGUUAAGUCCCGCAACGAGCGCAACCCUUAUCCUUUGUUGCCAGCGGUCCGGCCGGGAACUCAAAGGAGACUGCCAGUGAUAAACUGGAGGAAGGUGGGGAUGACGUCAAGUCAUCAUGGCCCUUACGAGUAGGGCUACACACGUGCUACAAUGGCGCAUACAAAGAGAAGCGACCUCGCGAGAGCAAGCGGACCUCAUAAAGUGCGUCGUAGUCCGGAUUGGAGUCUGCAACUCGACUCCAUGAAGUCGGAAUCGCUAGUAAUCGUAGAUCAGAAUGCUACGGUGAAUACGUUCCCGGGCCUUGUACACACCGCCCGUCACACCAUGGGAGUGGGUUGCAAAAGAAGCAGGUAGCUUAACCUUCGGGAGGGCGCUUACCACUUUGUGAUUCAUGACUGGGGUGAAGUCGUAACAAGGUAACCGUAGGGGAACCUGCGGAUAGGACACUUCUUUACGCUUGGAUCCCCGGAACUUAUUCUCUUUUUUAUCGUU